UCCAGGAUAUCUCCUGUUUUUGCCUUUCCUGAAGUUACGGUCUUAACAUUACCGAUAGACUGAUUCCGCUUUAUAACAGGAACUUUUUUCUUUAAAAGGUAUUUGGUUUUUAGAAAUGCUUUCAUUCUGUGCCAGUUUUGGCCUGUCAUAUCUCACAGGGCAGCAUUGUGUAUUGCCAAGGUUUUCACCAGAUCAAAGUCUCACUUGCUUCACCAGUUGACUAGCUUUGGUCGUGGGCUGGUUUUUCUGCAGGAUGUGUCAUGAUUGCAGCAGCUUUCAUGAGCCUUCUCCAUUAUCACGAGUCCAAAGCCUACUGCAUAUGUAAGUAUGUCUAAUAAUCAUGUAAACAUCAUGGUGCUAUUGCAAGAUUUUAGGCAAGGCAAUAUGCAACAGGAUAUUGAAUGGACUGCUGCAGCAGUAGGGCUAGCAAAUCAUGUAUUUCCAUUGGAUUGAUCGUGCAUUUCCAUGGUUUGAUGAGUUGUUUUUGGUUAGCCAAGAGUGAUAAGUGAAGUUGGUUUGUUGCAAGUUGUGUGCCUUGAUGCACUGCUUGCUGCAGAGUUUAUUUGGCUUAUGGCAUGAGGUUUAACAGGUUCACCACUGGUUAUGUGCUUAUGGUGCUGCUGCAAGAUAAUAAGCAAGGGUGCACACAUGGACUUUGGUGGUAAAUCAAGACAAGAUAGCGUGAGAUUAGGUCCAAGUUUGGGAUAGACCAAGGCUAAUGACCGUUGAUUCAAAGGUGUUCAAAUAGC